AUACUGCCUCACACACAGAAAAUGACCAGGCUGAAAACUUUCAUAAAAGCAAAGGUGCGACGCCUCAGUCACAGGGCAGACUGCAUGGACACAGGAGGUGUGGCAUCAGGAGGUGUGGCCUCAGGAGGUGUGGCCUCAGGAGGUGUGGUCUCAGAGGUUUGGCUUCAGGUGGUGUGGCCCCAUAGGGGGUGUGGUCUCAGAGGUGUGGCCUCGAGAGGUGUGGCCUCGGGAGGUGUGGCUUCAGGAGGUGUGGCCACGGGGCUGAAAACACCUGAAUUCAAAGAUAAUGAGCUGUGGCCCAAAACGUUUGUCUGUGUAGAGUUUAAGCUCACUGGGUCUGGAGUGUUUUUGUUCUUUGAUUCUGAUCAUUCUGUUAUUUUAUGGUUUUUCAUGGUUUAGUUUGUAUUUCUGCUCCUUUACUGUUCUUGUGCCUCCCUUGUGUUACGUCUAGUCGUCCUUGUCUCCAUGUUGGUGUAUUUCCUGUUCUACUUUGCCGUGUCCUGUGUUAGUCUUUACAGUGUUGCUCUCCCUCCCGUCUCGUCAUGUCCGAUUAGUUUCGGCUGCGUUCCCCUCCUGUUUCCUGUUUCUGUGUAUUUCCCUCUGGAUUACUUCUGCUUCGUAUCCAAAAUAACUUUAUUGCCUUUGCUUCUCUUAUUGCCCGAAAAAGAAUUUUGUUGUCGUGGAAAUCAUGUCAGCCAGCAUUAAAGUCUGGUUACACGACAUCCUAGGACUCCUAAAACUGGAGAAGAUAAAUUCUCCCUCAGAGGCUCAUCUGAUAGAUUUGUUACUCACUGGAAACCAUUACUUAAAUACUUACCGUAGCUUCCAGCACAAGAAAUCUCUUUGUAGUCCAUCAUACGCCCGUGCACAAACGCUCCAGCUGCUUCCAGCAGUGGCUGUUCCACCUUGUAAGAUUACUUCAUUUAGGAUACUCCAGCAUUAUCGAUUUACUUUGACUGAGGAGCAAAUGUCAUUAAUAUCGAUAUUAAUUAGAGUUAAUUAAUGUUGAUUAAUGUCAAUAUGAAUUCACAGGAAUGAGCCCUUUAUUGUUGGUCUUCAUUAUUUGUUUUGAUGUAUGGGUUAAUGUCACGGCUAGACGGUCCUCACCGGUAGCCUUGCCAAUUUUUGUUGUGUUAGUGUGUACUUUGUGGUGUUCUCCUCUCCAUCCUGUGCAUGUGUGUUUGUAUGCUGGAACAUGUACUUCUGGAAGCCGUGGCACGGAAUGGCAGCUGACCCGGGGGGAGGAUCCUGAGCUGGAAUCGUCGCACCUGUGCGUAAUCGCUUCGCCGGCUGCUACUAAUCCGAAGCAGACCUAUUUAACGGUGCAGUCGAGUCACAACCAACGCUGGAACGUCGAGCUAAACCGGGAUCCAGGGAUCGGAGGAGGAGCGGGCACAAGUCACUGCACUGUCACCACGGGGAGAAGCCACCGUGUCACUGCACUGCCCUUUUUGGAUUACAGACUCAAACUGUUGCCUUAUUUUUUCACUGUGAAUAAAUUCACUGUCACUCUGCAAGGAGUCUCGCACCUGAGUCCUUUAACCCAAUUCACCGUGACAGUUAAUCCAUCUUUCUGUAACAUAGUCACCUUCAAAUUAUUGGGGGGUAUUCAUGCCAUCUAUGUUAUUCAUGUUUACUGGAUGUUAUAAAGAAAGAAGAGACGAUCAUUUCUGUCUGUACCUUUGUGCUUAGUGUCUGCAUUUGAUAAUAAAACGAACACAACAGCAGUUUAAAUAUCAGUGCGUCGAAUUCAGACGUCACAACAUUUAAACCGAGUUUCAUUUGCAUCUAAGUGACAGACUCCUGUUUAAAAAGCGUCAGAAUUUCAUUUUUCUUGACUUUAUUCACUUUGUGAACGUUGAUAAACU
ensembl:lncRNA